rnacentral:rRNA from 1 species
AUUGAACGCUGGCGGCAUGCCUUACACAUGCAAGUCGAACGGCAGCACGGGAGCAAUCCUGGUGGCGAGUGGCGAACGGGUGAGUAAUAUAUCGGAACGUGCCCAGUAGUGGGGGAUAGCCCGGCGAAAGCCGGAUUAAUACCGCAUACGACCUGAGGGUGAAAGCGGGGGAUCGCAAGACCUCGCGCUACUGGAGCGGCCGAUAUCAGAUUAGCUAGUUGGUGGGGUAAAGGCCUACCAAGGCAACGAUCUGUAGUUGGUCUGAGAGGACGACCAGCCACACUGGGACUGAGACACGGCCCAGACUCCUACGGGAGGCAGCAGUGGGGAAUUUUGGACAAUGGGCGCAAGCCUGAUCCAGCAAUGCCGCGUGCAGGAAGAAGGCCUUCGGGUUGUAAACUGCUUUUGUCAGGGAAGAAAUCUUCUGGGCUAAUACCCCGGGAGGAUGACGGUACCUGAAGAAUAAGCACCGGCUAACUACGUGCCAGCAGCCGCGGUAAUACGUAGGGUGCGAGCGUUAAUCGGAAUUACUGGGCGUAAAGCGUGCGCAGGCGGCUUUGCAAGACAGAGGUGAAAUCCCCGGGCUCAACCUGGGAACU